ACUUGAGCCUCUUUCAGAGCAUGGCUAUCCUGGUGCUGCUCCUCUGCCUGAUUACCUUUCCAAACUGUGUCCUGUCCCAGGUGCAGCUGAAGGAGUCAGGUCCUGACCUGGUACAGCCCUCACAGACCCUGUCACUCACCUGUGCAGUCUCUGGGUUCUCCAUAACUGAUGAGUAUGUACACUGGGUUCGCCAACCCCCAGGAAAGGGUCUGGAGUGGAUGGGAGUAAUAAAAACUUCUGGAAGCACAGAAUACAGUUCAGCUCUCAAAUCCCGACUGAGCAUCACCAGAGACACCUCCAAGAACCAAGUUUUCUUAAAACUGAACAAUAUGCAAACUGAGGACACAGCCACCUACUACUGUGCGAGAGACACAGUGAGGGAAGUUGAGUGUAAGCCUGAACUAAAACCUUUCUACUCUAAAGGAUGUUCAGGACCAGCAGGGGGCACUGAGGCCCACAAGAACUACCCAAAAUCAGUUGCAGCCACUUCAGAAGCUCUUGCUGCACAGCCUGUUUUCACAUUAGAGGAAGCGUUUGUUUGAUUUGUUUUCUUUAGCUUU